rnacentral:rRNA from 1 species
ACUAAAUAGAUACCCGGGUAGUCCACGCCGUAAACGAUGAUAACUAGCUAUUGGGGCACAUGGUGCUUCGGUGGCGCAGCUAACGCAUUAAGUUAUCCGCCUGGGGAGUACGGUCGCAAGAUUAAAACUCAAAGGAAUUGACGGGGGCCUGCACAAGCGGUGGAGCAUGUGGUUUAAUUCAAAGCAACGCGCAGAACCUUACCAGCCUUUGACAUCCUGGUCGCGGGUUAGAGAGAUCUUUCCCUUCAGUUCGGCUGGACCAGUAACAGGUGCUGCAUGGCUGUCGUCAGCUCGUGUCGUGAGAUGUUGGGUUAAGUCCCGCAACGAGCGCAACCCUCGUCCUUAGUUGCCAUCAUUUAGUUGGGCACUCUAAGGAAACCGCCGGUGAUAAGCCGGAGGAAGGUGGGGAUGACGUCAAGUCCUCAUGGCCCUUACAGGCUGGGCUACACACGUGCUACAAUGGCGGUGACAGUGGGCAGCAAACUCGCGAGAGUGAGCUAAUCUCC